rnacentral:rRNA from 1 species
GACGAACGCUGGCGGCGUGCUUAACACAUGCAAGUCGAACGGAAAGGCCUGCUUUCCCUUGUGGAUUGCGGGUACUCGAGUGGCGAACGGGUGAGUAACACGUGAGUGAUCUGCCCCCAACUUGGGUAUAAGCCUGGGAAACUGGGUCUAAUUCCCGAUAGGACUGCAGGGUGGUGCCUGUGGUGGAAAACGAUUUUCUAGUGGUUGGGGAUGAGCUCGCGGCCUAUCAGCUUGUUGGUGGGGUAAUGGCCUACCAAGGCGGCGACGGGUAGCCGGCCUGAGAGGGUGGACGGCCACAGUGGGACUGAGAUACGGCCCAGACUCCUACGGGAGGCAGCAGUGGGGAAUAUUGCACAAUGGGCGGAAGCCUGAGGCAGCGACGCCGCGUGGGGGAUGACGGCCUUCGGGUUGUAAACUCCUUUCGACCGCGAGGAAGCCACCUGGUUGGAAGGGUGGUGACGGUAGUGGUAGAAGAAGCACCGGCUAACUACGUG